GAUGAAGAACGUAGCGAAAUGCGAUACGUAAUGUGAAUUGCAGAAUUCAGUGAAUCAUCGAAUCUUUGAACGCAUAUUGCGCUCUCUGGUAUUCCGGAGAGCAUGCUUGUUUGAGUAUCAGUAAACACCUCAACUCCCCUUUCUUUUUUGAAAUGGGAGCUGGACUUGAGUGAUCCCAACGCUUUUCUCACCGAAAAGUGGCGGGUUACUUGAAAUGCAGGUGCAGCUGGACUUUUCUCUGAGCUAAAAGCAUAUCUAUUUAGUCUGCCUAAAAACAGAUUAUUACCUUUGCUACAGCUAACAUAAAGGAGAUUAGUUCUUGUGCUGACUGAUGCAGGAUUCACAGAGACAGCUUCGGCUGGCCUUUGUAAACUCGAUCUCAAAUCAAGUAAGACUACCCGCUGAACUUAAGCAUAUCAAUAAGCGGAGGA
rnacentral:misc_RNA from 1 species